rnacentral:rRNA from 1 species
AUACUUAGUUUAAGUUGUAUAUGUUUUAAUUUUGUUCAUUAUCCAACUAGUCAUUUCUUUGCCAAAUUGGCCCAAGCUUAUGCCAUUUCCAGUCCAAUCGUGGAUAUUAUACUUGUCGUACCUCUAUUAUUUUUUCUAGCAGGCCAUCUAUGGUUCUUGGGCCAAAUCUGUACCAACUCCUGA